rnacentral:rRNA from 1 species
UACGAAGGGGGCUAGCGUUGCUCGGAAUUACUGGGCGUAAAGCGCACGUAGGCGGCUUUCUAAGUCGGGGGUGAAAUCCUGGAGCUCAACUCCAGAACUGCCUUCGAUACUGGAAAGCUCGAGUCCGGGAGAGGUGAGUGGAACUGCGAGUGUAGAGGUGAAAUUCGUAGAUAUUCGCAAGAACACCAGUGGCGAAGGCGGCACUCUGGGCCGGAACUGACGCUGAGGAGCGAAAGCGUGGGGAGCGAACAGG